rnacentral:lncRNA from 1 species
AUCUGUGUCUCUCGCUGGUGCUGGCACAGGAGCUUGGGAUCUGUCUCCUCUUUCGCCUCCUGCACCUUGAGAGCCCUGGGCUACUCUGUCACAGCCCCUGUUGCCCUGCGAUCUGUAGGUCCUUGGGGACGCAUAGUUAAGGUGCCAGGACAUCCUGGAAGCUGGGAAAUGGCUGAAUGCUAUCCCAGUGAUUGUACGUGCCCUGUUUGCUGAAUCUACUCAUCCUUAAGGGUAUGUAUUCAUUUCGUACCACCGUAGUGGAAGAGAGACUAUCCCUAUCAAUACACCUGGUAACAUUCCCAACAGUAAGUCGUGAGAUUCUGCUUGAAAUCACCUCUCAGACAAAUAAAAAACAGUCCUGGGAAAUGUACGACACUCAUUCUGCUAAAGAAAUAGGCAUCAUAGCUGGGGAACAGGGAUUCAAAAGACCCAGGCUGUUCCCUACAUAUGUUUCCUCCUCAGACAUCAGUUAAUCAGUCAAUCAAGUCAAGUGAGAGUGGAGGCCAUGUAUUCCCUCUUAUUCUUGGGCACUCUCCUCCAAGGAGGAAAAGGCCAGGAGGUCCUGUUAGAGGAUGCACUCUGAGAGCCCGGGCUCCCUAAGGUAUGAGAGUUCUAACCAGCAGGUGUAGACUUUUCAGGAGUGAGGAAUGAGGCAGGCAUUCCAAACCUGGAGCUUCAUCACCUUUUGUUUCAUCUCAAGACAAUUCUGAGGGGCUGUUUUGGAGCGUGUCUGGAAGGUGAACGUUGAAGAAGAGUGUGGGCUUUGAUGUGACUCAGAUGAGAUC